rnacentral:lncRNA from 1 species
UUUCCUUCUCACCCUUCUUCGCUGGUUUCUUGUUUCGAAUGCUGGAACCAUCCCGGUCCGCCGCCAGUAUGGUUCAGUACGCCCCAAACCGGAUAAUUUAAGCCGGUUCUGCAAUCCUUGGAGCUUUCUUUCUAUAAUAGGACAGCAGAUACCUCUCCUUAAGCAACCUGUUCAUCUCUUCCUAAUGGACAUUAGGAGCUCAGCCUCAAAGAAUUUUCUGAUCUUCUAUGCCUCUCCACUAUCUGUAAGCUCAGCCUUUUAGUUUUGCUUUUGUAAAGCGUACUCGUAUCUAACCAAGCAUAUACUCCCAGUCAAAAUAAUCUUCUACAUCUGUGAUCUAAUCUAGAAACUCAUGAGGUUCAAGAUCUCCAGUGAUAUCUUCAUCAAGGACAUACUCAUAAGGGCAUUUUUGAGAGUCAUCGAUGCUGCAAGCAUCGGAUCAGGCCAUUACAAAAGAACAUGGUGAUGUGCCAAUAGAUCUGAUACCAAAUUGAUGUAGGACAGUCUAUGGAAGAAGACCUAUUAGGGAUUAGGCUAUGAAGAUUUGCUUUAAACUUCAAUUCAGACCUGAGUUUAGAUUAAAAUUGAACUAGGAGAGUAGGAAUUUCUCAAUGCAAAAUUGACAAUGGAUGCAGAGAUGGAUCUAGAACAUUAAACUAGGGCUCAAUUAGGGAACAAAUAGGAUUUGUAGGCUCUUAGGAAUAGACUUUUAAUGGGUAACUCUUCAUUGAGGAACCAGAGUUGGUUUUUUCAUGUUAUCUGAAUGGAUCUAAAGAAUAUUAAAUUAGGGGACUCAAUUAGGGAAUGAAGAGGAUCCGUAGGCUCUUAGGAAUAGAUCAAUGGGUAGCUGUUCAUUCAGGAACAGAUUUCAUUUUUUCAUGUUAAGUGAACCACCAAGAAAUUUUCUAGUCAAGUGCCAAUAGAUCUGAUACCAAAUUGAUGUAGGACAGUCUAUGGAAGAAGACCUAUUAGGGAUUAGGCUAUGAAGAUUUGCUUUAAACUUCAAUUCAGACCUGAGUUUAGAUUAAAAUUGAACUAGGAGAGUAGGAAUUUCUCAAUGCAAAAUUGACAAUGGAUGCAGAGAUGGAUCUAGAACAUUAAACUAGGGCUCAAUUAGGGAACAAAUAGGAUUUGUAGGCUCUUAGGAAUAGACUUUUAAUGGGUAACUCUUCAUUGAGGAACCAGAGUUGGUUUUUUCAUGUUAUCUGAAUGGAUCUAAAGAAUAUUAAAUUAGGGGACUCAAUUAGGGAAUGAAGAGGAUCCGUAGGCUCUUAGGAAUAGAUCAAUGGGUAGCUGUUCAUUCAGGAACAGAUUUCAUUUUUUCAUGUUAAGUGAACCACCAAGAAAUUUUCUAGUCA